CGCAUAUGCACGAGCGGAGGGUCAUUACAGAGUUAUACAACUCCCAUACCAUCUGUUAACCUACCCAGUUAUGCCUCGGCGUAAGCUCGGUUGGAGGCACCUGCAGCUACCCUGUAGUUGCGGACUGCCAACUCCAGCCGCGGCCCGCCGGCGGUACACUAAACUCUGUUUUAUUUUAUAUUCUGAGCGUCUUAUUUUAAUAAGUUAAAACUUUCAACAACGGAUCUCUUGGUUCUGGCAUCGAUGAAGAACGCAGCGAAAUGCGAUAAGUAAUGUGAAUUGCAGAAUUCAGUGAAUCAUCGAAUCUUUGAACGCACAUUGCGCCCAUCAGUAUUCUGGUGGGCAUGCCUGUUCGAGCGUCAUUUCAACCCUUAAGCCUAGCUUAGUGUUGGGAAUCUGCUGUACUGCAGUUCCUUAAAGACAGUGGCGGAGCGGCGGUAGUCCUCUGAGCGUAGUAAUUUAUUUCUCGCUUUUGUCAGGCUCUGUCCUCCCGCCAUAAAACCCCCAAUUUUUUAGUGGUUGACCUCGGAUCAGGUAGGAAUACCCGCUGAACUUAAGCAUAUCAUAGGCCCGAAGGAA
rnacentral:rRNA from 1 species